rnacentral:rRNA from 1 species
CCCCGCCUUGGCUAUAUACACAUCCGCUACAUCCAGCCCCUCGAUCCCCUGUCUAGCCGCCCUCCGCCUCCCCGUCUCGCUCGCUCCCACCUCUCGCCGCCGCCGCCGCCGCCGCCGCCCGCGCAGCCGCAAAAUGCCGUUCAAGAGGUUCGUGGAGAUCGGGCGGGUGGCCCUGGUGAACUAUGGCAAGGACUACGGCCGCCUCGUCGUCAUCGUCGACGUUGUUGACCAGAACAGGGCACUUGUUGAUGCUCCGGACAUGGUCCGCUGCCAGAUGAACUUCAAGCGGCUCUCUCUGACCGACAUCAAGAUUGACAUCAAGCGGAUCCCUAAGAAGGCAACUUUGAUCAAAGCAAUGGAGGAAGCUGAUGUGAAGACCAAGUGGGAAAACAGCUCAUGGGGCAAGAAGCUGGUUGUCCAGAAGAGGAGGGCAUCGCUCAAUGACUUCGACAGGUUCAAGGUCAUGCUCGCCAAGAUCAAGAGGGGAGGAGCUAUCAGGCAGGAGCUAGCGAAGCUUAAGAAGGAGGUUGCUGCUGCUUAGAUCACUUUGGUGGGCAGACUGUUGAGCUUUUGGUCAGCGUUGUAUCUUUGCCCCAAAAUCGUGAAAUAUUGUGUGAAUCACUCAUCACUGUUAUUGGUGUAUCAGAUGAAAAUUUAGUAGUGUUUGAGAUUUUGCUGGACUUGUCAGGAUCUGAGAUGGUAUGUUAUCUAUCUGUUAUUUGUGAUGCCAUCUAAAUACAUGGGCCUAGUGCUUACUGUUAGUCUGCUGCGUGUUUACCCCAGUGGCUACACCGGGCAUUAUUCCUAGAACAGCUUUGUUCCAAUCGAUCAUGUUUAUGUAUUAUGGAGUACUACUCCCUCCGUUCCUAAAUA